rnacentral:rRNA from 1 species
GGUCAAGUUAUUAAGGGUGCAGGGCGGAUGCCUUGGCACUAGGAGCCGAUGAAGGACGUGAUAAGCUGCGAUAAGCUUCGGGGAGUUGCACGUAAACUUUGAUCCGAAGAUUUCCGAAUGAGGAAACUCACUUAGAGUAAUGUCUAAGUAUCAUUAAGUGAAUACAUAGCUUAAUGAGGGGAACUCAGGGAACUGAAACAUCUAAGUACCUGAAGGAAGAGAAAGAAAUUCGAUUC